rnacentral:rRNA from 1 species
AGCGAACGCUGGCGGCAGGCUUAACACAUGCAAGUCGAGCGGGCAUCCUUGUGGUGUCAGCGGCAGACGGGUGAGUAACGCGUGGGAACGUGCCCUUCGGUUCGGAAUAACUCAGGGAAACUUGAGCUAAUACCGGAUACGCCCUUAUGGGGAAAGGUUUACUGCCGAAGGAUCGGCCCGCGUCUGAUUAGCUAGUUGGUGAGGUUACGGCUCACCAAGGCGACGAUCAGUAGCUGGUCUGAGAGGAUGAUCAGCCACACUGGGACUGAGACACGGCCCAGACUCCUACGGGGGGCAGCAGUGGGGAAUAUUGGACAAUGGGGGCAACCCUGAUCCAGCCAUGCCGCGUGAGUGAUGACGGCCUUAGGGUUGUAAAGCUCUUUUCUCCGGGACGAUAAUGACGGUACCGGAGGAAUAAGCCCCGGCUAACUUCGUGCCAGCCGCCGCAGUAAAAC